AUGAAGUGUCGAUUCGGAGUCGAUCCUUCCGUCCCAG
rnacentral:tRNA from 2 species